rnacentral:rRNA from 1 species
CGCCCUUAGAGUUUGAUCCUGGCUCAGAAUGAACGCUGGCGGCAUGGAUUAGGCAUGCAAGUCGAACGGGUUCCCUCGGGAACUAGUGGCGUAAGGGUGAGUAACACGUGAGUAACCUGCCCCUGAAUCUGGAAUAAACCAGGGAAACUUGGUCUAAAACCGGAUGUCGGCACCACACCUCCUGGUGUUUUGCUGAAAAAUUCAUUGCUUGAGGAUGGGCUCGCGUACCAUUAGCUAGUUGGUGUGGUAACGGCAUACCAAGGCUACGAUGGUUAGGUGGAUUGAGAGAUCGGUCACCCACACUGGGACUGAGACACUGCCCAGACUCCUACGGGAGGCUGCAGUCGAGAAUCUUCCGCAAUGCGCGAAAGCGUGACGGAGCAAUGCCGCGUGGUGGAUGAAGGCCUUAGGGUUGUAAACACCUGUCACAUGGGACGAAUAAUUUGACGGUACCAUGAGAGGAAGCCACGGCUAACUACGUGCCAGCAGCCGCGGUAAUACGUAGGUGGCGAGCGUUGUUCGGAUUUAUUGGGCGUAAAGGGUCCGCAGGGGGUUUAUCAAGUCUGAUGUGAAAUCCCAAGGCUCAACCUUGGAACUGCAUCGGGUACGGGCGAACUAGAGUUCUUGAUGGGAAAGCGGAAUUCCAGGUGUAGCGGUGGAAUGCGUAGAUAUCUGGAAGAACACCGAUGGCGAAGGCGGUCUGCUGGCCUGCAACUGACCCUCAGGGACGAGAGCGGGGGGAGCGAACAGGAUUAGAUACCCUGGUAGUCCCGACCGUAAACGGUGUACACUUGGGGUUGGGGGAUUUCACCCCUCCAGUCCCGGAGCUAACGCGUUAAGUGUACCGCCUGGGGAGUACGGCCGCAAGGUUAAAACUCAAAGAAAUUGACGGGGGCCCGCACAAGCAGAGGAGCAUGUGGCUUAAUUCGAUGCAACGCGAAGAACCUUACCCAGGUUUGACAUAUAACUGCAAAUCCCUGGAAACAGGGACUCCUUCGAGGGUGUUAUACAGGUGCUGCAUGGCUGUCGUCAGUUCGUGCCGUGAGGUGUUUGGUUAAGUCCAGCAACGAACGCAACCCCUAUGUUUAGUUGCCAGCGGGUAAUGCCGGGAACUCUAGACAGACUGCCCGUUCACACGGGAGGAAGGUGGGGACGACGUCAAGUCAGUAUGGCCCUUACAUCUGGGGCUGCACACGUGCUACAAUGGCAGGUACAAUAGGAAGCAAUACCGCGAGGUGGAGCCAAUCCCCAAAACCUGCCCCAGUUCGGAUUGUGGUCUGCAACCCGACCACAUGAAGUUGGAUUUGCUAGUAACGGCGUAUCAGCUACGGCGCCGUGAAUACGUUCCCGGGCCUUGUACACACCGCC